rnacentral:rRNA from 1 species
AUUGAACGCUGGCGGCAGGCUUAACACAUGCAAGUCGAGCGGGGUGAUGGUGCUUGCACUAUCACUUAGCGGCGGACGGGUGAGUAAUGCUUAGGAAUCUGCCUAUUAGUGGGGGACAACAUCUCGAAAGGGAUGCUAAUACCGCAUACGUCCUACGGGAGAAAGCAGGGGAUCACUUGUGACCUUGCGCUAAUAGAUGAGCCUAAGUCGGAUUAGCUAGUUGGUGGGGUAAAGGCCUACCAAGGCGACGAUCUGUAGCGGGUCUGAGAGGGUGAUCCGCGACACUGGGACUGAGACACGGCCCAGACUCCUACGGGAGGCAGCAGUGGGGAAUAUUGGGCAAUGGGGGGAACCCUGAUCCAGCCAUGCCGCGUGUGUGAAGAAGGCCUUAUGGUUGUAAAGCACUUUAAGCGAGGAGGAGGCUCUUUUGGUUAAUACCCAAGAUGAGUGGACGUUACUCGCAGAAUAAGCACCGGCUAACUCUGUGCCAGCAGCCGCCGUAA